CAUUAGCCCAAUCUACAAUAGACCAUGUAAAAGGGCAGCAGCAAACAAAUAAUAGCAGCUGAGCAGAAGCUGUGAAAAUGGGAAUGGCGAGCUCUCUAUGGAGGAAAUGCGCAGAUUACCUGUACGCCAAGUGGGAGAGGACGAUUCUUUGGGAUAUGAUAAAGCCAUACAAGAGGAUACCCAAGUUGUCUACUCCUCUUGUUACUAUUUAUAUAGCUGUUUUCUACAUGGGGGUCAUUGGCUCUGCAAUUACUGAGCAACUCUACAAGGAGAAGUACUGGGAAGAUCAUCCCAGUGAAGCAGUGCUUCUCAAGAAGCCAAAAUUCUACUAUGGCCCUUGGAAGGUGCUUAGAGGGGAGGCUCUGCCACCCAGUCAGUGAAAACCACAACAAUUUUAUUUGUUUUCAGUUACUUCCAAUUUGUUUUUUGUUUCUUUUUUGUAUAUGUCACAGGCUCCAUAGAUUUUAGCAAACAAGGAUUUCCCACUGCUUGAAAAUAAAUAUAUGGAGCAUACAUUGUCAGUUGUCAUAAUGAUUAUGCUUUUUGUUGGCCAAUGCCUAGUUGAAUAGGAAGCUUUUUUAGUCCAUGUUUGACAUACGAUUUGCAUUUGAGAAAUCUUGUUGUCUGCUUAAACCAGAACAGGUUGCUUUGCUUAGCAUUUAAAAAAUCAUUUCACCAUUAAAAUUUCUGCCUAAUUCCUCCCUUUUUGCCUGUUUGUUUAUAAAGUUAACGAAGGAGGUGCUUAUUUACCCUUUAGAUAGUUAGAUCCUUGAGAUUGGGAUUUUCUUUUGAUACUUUUGUCCAUGUUUCG
rnacentral:misc_RNA from 1 species